rnacentral:rRNA from 1 species
UACGUAGGGGGCAAGCGUUGUCCGGAUUUAUUGGGCGUAAAGAGCGUGUAGGCGGUCUGGUAGGUCCGUUGUGAAAACUCGAGGCUCAACCUCGAGACGCCGAUGGGAACCCUCAGACUAGAGUCCGGAAGAGGAGAGUGGAAUUCCUGGUGUAGCGGUGAAAUGCGCAGAUAUCAGGAAGAACACCCGUGGCUAAGGCGGCUCUCUAGUACGGUACUGACGCUGAGACGCGAAAGCGUGGGGAGCGAACAGG